rnacentral:lncRNA from 1 species
CUGGUCAACAAGAACCCUUCCAUCAUUGCUUUAAUUGAUCCUUUCAGGAAGGAGGAUUCAGAACAGUGGGACAGCCUCUAUAAUGCCCUUGGUUCCAGGUGCUACAUAAUUGCAGGAAAGGCAUCCAAAAGCAUUUCUAAACUUCUAGAGCAUGGAAACAUCAGCAUCCCCAGAUCCCAUGCGCUGAUCAUAACACAUACAAAUCAAACUACAGUGUCUGACUUGGUGGAAAUAACCAAUCUUAUUGACAGUAAGUAAAA